rnacentral:rRNA from 1 species
AUUGAACGCUGGCGGCAGGCCUAACACAUGCAAGUCGAACGAGUGGCGGACGGGUGAGUAAUGUCUGGGAAACUGCCUGAUGGAGGGGGAUAACUACUGGAAACGGUAGCUAAUACCGCAUACCAUCGGAUGUGCCCAGAUGGGAUUAGCUAGUAGGUGGGGUAAAGGCUCACCUAGGCGACGAUCCCUAGCUGGUCUGAGAGGAGGACCCACCACAAUGGAAAUGAGACACGGGCCAGACUCCUACGGGAGGCAGCAGGGGGGAAUAUUGGACAAUGGGCGCAAGCCGGAUGCAGCCAUGCCGCGUGUAUGGAGAAGGCCUUCGGGUUGUAAAGUACUUUCAGCGGGGAGGCGUGACCCGCAGAAGAAGCACCGGCUAACUCCUUGCCAGCAGCCGCGGUAAUAC